AACGCGAAGAACCUUACCUAGGCUUGACAUACAAGUGACAGCGGCAGAAAUGUCGUGUUUCCGCAAGGAACACUUGAACAGGUGCUGCAUGGCUGUCGUCAGCUCGUGCCGUGAGGUGUUGGGUUAAGUCCCGCAACGAGCGCAACCCUUGUCGUUAGUUGCCAGCGAGUAAUGUCGGGCACUCUAGCGAGACUGCCUGGGUUAACCAGGAGGAAGGUGAGGAUGACGUCAAGUCCGCAUGGCCUUUAUGCCUAGGGCCACACACGUGCUACAAUGGCCGGUACAACGGGUUCCGACACGGCGACGUGAAGGCAACCCCUUAAAGCCGGUCUCAGUUCGGAUUGCAGGCUGCAACUCGCCUGCAUGAAGUCGGAAUCGCUAGUAAUCGCAGAUCAGCAUUGCUGCGGUGAAUACGUUCCCGGGCCUUGUACACACCGACGCGUA
rnacentral:rRNA from 1 species